rfam:Oryza sativa Japonica Group DNA, chromosome 11, cultivar: Nipponbare, complete sequence.
AAUAAGUGCAGUUUUGCACUAUUUAUUUCCAACGUUUGACCGUUCGUCUUAUUUGAAAAGUUUUUAUGAUUACUAUUUUUAUUGUUAUUAGAUGAUAAAACAUAAAUAGUACUUUACGUGUGACUAAUUUUUUAAAAAAAUUUCAUAAAUUUUUCAAAUAAGACGAACGGUCAAACGUUGGACACGGAUUUCCACGGCUAGACUUAUU